rnacentral:rRNA from 1 species
CGCGAAUGGCUCAUUACAACAGCUAUAAUUUACUUGAUCUUGACAAUCCUACUUGGAUAACUGUGGUAAUUCUAGAGCUAAUACAUGCACCAAAGCUCUGACCUUACGGGAAGAGUGCAUUUAUUAGAACAAAACCAAGCGGCUUCGGUCGUUUUUUGUUGACUCAGAAUAACUAAGCUGAUCGCAUGGUCUUGUACCGGCGACGUGUCUUUCAAGUAUCUGCCUUAUCAACUUUCGAUGGUAGUGUAUCUGACUACCAUGGUUGUGACGGGUAACGGAGGAUAAGGGUUCGACUCCGGAGAAGGGGCCUGAGAAAUGGCCACUACGUCUAAGGAUGGCAGCAGGCGCGCAAAUUACCCACUCUCAGAACGAGGAGGUAGUGACGAGAAAUAACGAGACCGUCCUCUACGAGGCCGGUCAUCGGAAUGGGUACAAUCUAAACCCUUUAACGAGUAUCAAUGAGAGGGCAAGUCUGGUGCCAGCAGCCGCGGUAAUUCCAGCU